CGUUGGAUCACCCCAUCAGUGUAUCUAGUUCGUUUAUUUUGGGCAGAAGAGACAGAGCAUCCUCUCACUAGAUGUCCCCAUGCAAUGGCCGGUUGUUACCCGCCUCCGGCUGCACGUGGGCCCCACCUUCGCUGGCCCCGCACGUCAGCCACUGCGGCUGGAAUCUCUUUCGGUUCGCAUUGGCGUCAGCCGGUGGAGGUCUCCACCCGCGGGGUACUUUCGGUAUUUCAGUGCCCGCCGUAUAAAACCGGGAUCGACGGAGCGAAACCCUAGCCGCCUUUGCGAAAUCGCUGUGUCGCAUCUCCUCCUCCACGCCGCCGCUCGCAUCUCCUCCUCCACGCCGCCUGGUCGCGCGUCUCUCCUCCUCCACGGCUCCACCCUAGCCGGCCGGCCCCCAAUUGCCUCACGCGACUCCUCAUCCCAAUCCUCUGAUGUGGCUCUUCUCCUCCAAUCCUCCUCCCUCCACUCCACAUCAAGGUCAAGCUGCCGCCACCACCACUCACCGUCGAGCCAGCGCGACGCACGGGGGCAUGGGAGCCGCCGCAAGAUUCAGGAGCUCCAGAUCCUGAAUCCUACCCACGUUGGUCGUCGUCCGGCGGCAUCACCAUUGUCCCGGACAAGAAGCUCGCCUGCGCUGCCGUAUCUCUCCUCGUCGCCCCCAGCCUCGUGACUCCUACCAACCAGGUGCAGUACGGUCCGCUGGAAGAUGUCCUACCAGGACGGCGCCGCCCGGACGCCGGCCACGCCCAAGCACCGGCCCGCCCAAGCGCCGUGCCUGUGCUCGUCCGAGCUCGUCGUCACCUACAAGCGCCGCCGCACAGCCACUCGAGGCGCCAGGUCUGACCCUGGGGCGCCUUGUGCCACCAUGGUGGCCUGGAGCGGCAAUUCUCGCCAAGAAUGGCAGCAGAUGCUGGCCAGCCAUUGGAUUACUUGGAGGGACACAUUGGAGGCUUCCUGCAAUCCCAGGUGUAAAUAAGGGUGGGGGAUUCAGAGCUGCAUCAGGGAUGUGCUCAGAUUCAACUUUUGUCAACUGGUGCCACAAGUCGGUUCUAAUGCUUUUGUUAUGCAUCAUUUAGCAGAAGAAGCAACGUUGUGCAUAAUUCCAUGGCCUGAUUUAUCCUAUUACAUUAUUUUGUAUUUUGUGCAUUAGCUAAAGAUUGCAGGUUUCUUUUCCUAUGCUGAUGUCAGAUUGUCAUCAUCUCCGCCACAAGAGCUGUUGCUGGACUGGUUUUAGAGUGCUAAUCAUCCAAGUGACUUCCAUGGUCGCCCACUAAUACGUGAGCUACAGAGAUGCAGGGAUGCAGCCCUGUCUUGAAGACAUAUAAGCCUUCAUUCCUUUGAGAGCAAAAGUUUGUGAAAAUGGUGUGCUUUAAUAAAUUUUAUCCUUUGCUGCCCUCCCUGGUUGGCUGAUUUAUGGAGGUUGAGUCGGCUAGAUGUUUAGAUGCGUCCCCUUUGUUUACAGGUUAGUUGCAAAUAUAUAUUUAUCUUAAAUAUGGUUUUGCUGUUUAUAUUAUAUUGAUGGGACUAGAUGCAACUCCACUCUUGAUGCUUUGGUAGUAAAGUUACGGCUUGCAGAUAUUUAGGUAUGUUUAUGUAGUAACAGCUUAUAUGAAAACUCUUUCAUCCAGUGAAGCUUCUUAAGGUCUAAGGGCAUGGGUUGAAUGAGAGAAAUAAGAAAUAUAAGGGGGAUCAGGUCAGGGGUCUGAUAGUUGAUGAUAGUAAAUCUAAAUUUCUGUAUUUAUGCAUUUUUGGUUUUGUUCAAAGAAAUGGUUAGAAGGGCCCAAUGUAAAAAAUUACAAGAUCAUCAAAGGCAAAGAAAAAGGAAUAUCUAAAUGCUGAAGUAUGAUGGCAAAAAUUAAAUGAAGUCGAUUAUAUUGCUUUACCUCUCGAUUAUAUGCCUUUUUAUACAGGAGCUUAUGUUUGACUAAAUGAAGCUUGCUAUCUGCAAAGUUUUAUUUAAUAUCCACACCUUAUGUUUGAUAAACAUGUUUAGCCUCGCUUGUAGUAGCUGCAGUUAUUAUUUAUGCAGGAGCUUUUUGUAAACUGGGGUUUACCUUUCUUUAAUAAUUUACCAUUUUUUACAAUCGAUAGAAAAACUUUUUGCAACUAACUUUCUCACAGUAAGUUUCUUGUAGAAGUUCAACUGAAUAACAGUUGACCCAAACGGGGUAUCAUGAAGAGAGUCUCAUCGCAUGUCUCAUUGCCUCAGAGGCUGAUAUCAGUCUUGAUCUGUUGCGGUUACUAAUUGAUAAGCCAGGGCUCACGCAUCGGCAAAACGAUGGCUUUGAUAGUGUAAUGCAGUCAUCGGCAAAACGAUGACUUUGAUACCUGCAUCCCGUACUGGGUUUGACUCCCCAUUCUCAAUACGAACACACUUCGGUGAGCCAAGUGGACCACACCCCCUUAUGAAUGAGGCAUGGGAGGCACUCAGGAAAUUUGUACUGUAUUUUCACGGCCAACCAGUUGGUACAAUUGUUGCGGUAGAUCAUUCAUCUGAGAAAGUGCUCAAUUAUGAUCAGUGCGUUGGCUUUUCUGAUGAACAACAAGCCCGAUAUAGUGAAGAACUUCCUAUUGAAAACUCUUCACUUGCAAAACUCAGAUUAAAUGGUAGACCGGUUAAAUCUUGGAGCAGGAGCAAUGCCUGCAAGUUUCAAGGUGGACCGUAAUAAAAAUAGAAACACAGAAACAUUAGUUGCAGACUUUGGUAGACCGUUAUUUGUUUCGUACAGAUUUAGUUUCAGAAUGCUAAUUGGUUGUGUUAAACUGCAGCGCAUUUUCCCCUCACGUGACCUCAUAUUUUGGUUAUCCAUGCAAUCCAGCAAUUGAAGCACUAUUUGGCUCAUCCAUGAGAAGCACAAAAGAUCAUACAUGGAGUUGACGAAGAAACUUUACGGAUCUCAAUUUUACCUGUGAGCUUCUUCAGAUCCAUUCACUGAGGGAGGUAUCUUCCAACUUUUUAGUUCUAUUUUUUGCAGUAUAUGGUUCCAUAUCUGGCUAUAUUUUUCACAAAAUAGAGGUAAUAAAGGAACGAACUGAAGGUUUUUUAUUUUUGUAAAUAUGUGUCACUUUCUGUUUGAUGGGAUUUGUAUAAUUUGUUGAGUAUUCUUCUGUUCAUGGCAAAUGAAGCUUUUUCUUUAUAGAGCUGGACUGUAGGAACUGAUUGUGAGGGUAUGGACUUUGUUCUUGCUGAUCGAUGGCGCCGGCCAGCUGGACCUAUUGGUGUUUGACUGUUUGGUAAUUUGGCCCUGAGAAGAUUUGUUGUCUUCAAAUACAGCUAAAUGUUGUUUGCAAAUACUCAGGGGUGUAUAUGCACACAGACUUGGUAAGACUCUCUUUACGUAUACCACUGCUUCUAUUUCCUUUCCCAGACUGUUUUUAGGUUCAUUUUCACACAUUUCGGGUUCUUGCGACAUAAAUAUAAGAUUAGUGAAGCAAUGAUACUCAUAUUAUUUUUUGUUACUGACACAUCAAUUUGCGAGGGUGCCCCCCAUGCCUCACCUCGCCUGAUCGUAGUGAGACACAAUGAAACAUAAGGUAAAUAUCUUCUCAUUCUAAUACGUUGGAUCCCUUAUGUCUUGUUUCAGCUAAUAUUUCUUUCUAUUUUUUAUUCAUUAGAGCUUGUGGUCAUUAAUUUUUCAACGUUACUAAUAAUUAUGGAUCUUUAUCAUCAAACACAAGGAAAGAGCAACUUAAUGAGCGCUCUUCUCAGCAGAGAAUCAUUAAGUCACUCAUUUCAGCCCUCGCGCCAUAUGGCCCCGGCAGCAUCCGACGACGAUGGGAUGGCCCCGCUCCCUCGCUCCCCAGGUGAGGUUGUCGCCGACGAGGGGGAAUCGCAUGAGCCGCCGCCUCGAGCCGCCAUCAGCCCAGCUCGUGCCCUCUUCCCCGUUAGCCAGCCAUACGGGCAUCCGCAUGUGUCGCUGCUGCUCCGCCUCUUCAUCCUCUGCAUCUAAAGGUGGAGCACGUGAACAAGACAGGCUAGGUAUUGCAGCACCCGGGGACAAAGCGUCGAUGAUGGCGACCUAGCGACUCUGCAUUGUCCGAGGUAUACAAGUUACGGUAGAUGUCUCAACAUCUUCCACUGAACUGGUUUCACAAAUUUAAUCUCAAGUGCAAGAUGCCUGCGUGUGUCUCCAACCUCAGGCCCGCUAGAUCUUGAUUCGGUUUGUCCCUUUCUUAGAUACCUGAAUAGUGUAUUGUGUUAUUUUGCACCAAAAAUAGGAACCAAUUGGUGUACUACUUAAUAUAUUUGAAAGUUUGGCUUGUGAAAUAUAAUUUAGUAGUUAACUUUUCUAUGCAAAAAUGAAUCUCUCUACUCUGAAGAUGGCUAUGGAGAUGGGGGGCAUAUGUUUGUUGUUGUGAUGUGCAAGUCCAGCAUUAAUUUAUGAUUCUGAUCAUCUGGGGUCAACCACCACUGACCCUGUCUACAGCUUGGAUCGAGAACCGUCUGCCUAAGCAUCAACUCUCCUAUGUUUACUCAUGUAAUGUAGUUAGUUAUUUUCCUUGCUGGGAUUAUAUAACAUAUAUAUAAACUGUAGGCUUUGUGUUUGAGCCAUCUACCUCAGACCUCAUGUAUGUAUGUACGACAUCAUUCAUGUAUUCUCUAUGGCUGAUUGACUACUUACAAUGCUUAUAGAUAUAACGGCUUUUGUUGACUAA